rnacentral:rRNA from 1 species
AUUGAACGCUGGCGGCAGGCCUAACACAUGCAAGUCGAGCGGCAGCGGGAAAGUAGCUUGCUACUUUUGCCGGCGAGCGGCGGACGGGUGAGUAAUGCCUGGGAAAUUGCCCAGUCGAGGGGGAUAACAGUUGGAAACGACUGCUAAUACCGCAUACGCCCUACGGGGGAAAGUAGGGGACCUUCGGGCCUUGCGCGAUUGGAUAUGCCCAGGUGGGAUUAGCUAGUUGGUGAGGUAAUGGCUAACGAAGGCGACGAUCCCUAGCUGGUCUGAGAGGAUGAUCAGCCACACUGGAACUGAGACACGGUCCAGACUCCUACGGGAGGCAGCAGUGGGGAAUAUUGCACAAUGGGGGAAACCCUGAUUCAGCCAUGCCGCGUGUGUGAAGAAGGCCUUCGGGUUGUAAAGCACUUUCAGCGAGGAGGAAAGGUUGAUGCCUAAUACGUAUCAACUGUGACGUUACUCGCAGGAGAAGCACCGGCUAACUCCGUGCCAGCCGCCGCGGUAA